rnacentral:tRNA from 1 species
UGCAUCGGCCGGGUAUCGAACCCUGGCCGCCCGCGUGGCAGGCGAGCAUUCUACCACUGAACCACCGAUGC